GACGAACGCUGGCGGCGUGCUUAACACAUGCAAGUCGAACGGAAAGGCCCCCAUCUUGGUGGGGGUGCUCGAGUGGCGAACGGGUGAGUAACACGUGGGUGAUCUGCCCUGUACUUCGGGAUAAGCUUGGGAAACUGGGUCUAAUACCGGAUAGGACCAUGGUUUAGUGUCUCAUGGUGGAAAGAUUAUUGUUUUGGUGCAGGAUGAGCUCGCGGCCUAUCAGCUUGUUGGUGGGGUAAUGGCCUACCAAGGCGUCGACGGGUAGCCGGCCUGAGGGGGUGGACGGCCACAUUGGGACUGAGAUACGGCCCAGACUCCUACGGGAGGCAGCAGUGGGGAAUAUUGCGCAAUGGGCGCAAGCCUGAUGCAGCGACGCCGCGUGGGGGAUGACGGCCUUCGGGUUGUAAACUCCUUUCGUUAGGGACGAAGCCGCACUUUUUUUGGGUGUGGUGACGGUACCUUUGUUAAGAAGCACCGGCUAACUACGUG
rnacentral:rRNA from 1 species